GCGAAUCUUCUCACGCCAGCGGCUGAGCAGAAAAUAAACAACAUAAAAGAAAACGGUAAAGCAGAGAGCAUUGAUUAGGUACAGAGGGAGAGGUAAUGCAUCAGAGGGCUUCUGGGCACUCUCAUCCUCCACCGAUUUAAGUUUCACAGAGUGGAUGGUUUUUCCAGAGGUAGGUCGCCGGCGCACAUCCAUUUUGGAGCGACUGGUGGAGGAUGAGAAGAGAGAAAAUUGAGGCGUG
rnacentral:misc_RNA from 1 species